UACGUAGGGUGCGAGCGUUAAUCGGAAUUACUGGGCGGAAAGGGUGCGCAGGCGGAUAUGUAAGGUAGAUGUGAAAUCCCCGAGCUUAACUUGGGAAUGGCAUUUAAGACUGCAUGUCUAGAGUUUGUCAGAGGGGGGUAGAAUUCCAAGUGUAGCAGUGAAAUGCGUAGAGAUUUGGAGGAAUACCGGUGGCGAAGGCGACCCCCUGGGAUAAAACUAACGCUCAGGCACGAAAGCGUGGGUAGCAAACAGGAUUAGAUACCCUGGUAGUCCACGCCCUAAACGAUGUCUACUUGCUGUUGGGGGUAAAACCUUGGUAGCGAAGCUAACGUGAGAAGUAGACCGCCUGGGGAGUACGGUCGCAAGAUUAAA
rnacentral:rRNA from 1 species